GGGUCAGUAGGUUGGUCGUGCCACCGGUACGUACUGGUCUCACUGAUUCCUCCUUCCUGAAGAACCGUAAUGCCAUAAAUUUGGUGUUGCGGGGAAACAGGACUGUUACUUUGAAAAAAUUAGAGUGUUUAAAGCAAGCUAACGCUUGAAUACAUUAGCAUGGAAUAAUGAAAUAGGACGAUCGAUCCUAUUUUGUUGGUUUCUAGGAUUGACGUG
rnacentral:rRNA from 1 species